rnacentral:rRNA from 1 species
GGGGAAAUUUGGUUCAUGGGUCGGAAGACUGAACCAGCCAAGUAGCGUGAAGGAUGAAGGUUCUAUGGAUUGUAAACUUCUUUUAUACGGGAAUAAAACCUCCCACGUGUGGGAGCUUGUAUGUACCGUAUGAAUAAGCAUCGGCUAACUCCGUGCCAGCAGCCGCGGUAAUACGGAGGAUGCGAGCGUUAUCCGGAUUUAUUGGGUUUAAAGGGAGCGUAGACGGGAGAUUAAGUCAGUUGUGAAAGGCUGCGGCUCAACCGCAGCACUGCAGUUGAUACUGGUUUCCUUGAGUGCGGUUGAGGUGUAUGGAAUUCGUGGUGUAGCGGUGAAAUGCUUAGAUAUCACGAAGAACUCCGAUUGCGAAGGCAGUACACUAAGCCGUAACUGACGUUGAGGCUCGAAAGUGUGGGUAUCAAACAGGAUUAGAUACCCUGGUAGUCCACACGGUAAACGAUGAAUACUCGCUGUUGGCGAUAUACAGUCAGCGGCCAAGCGAAAGCAUUAAGUAUUCCACCUGGGGAGUACGCCGGCAACGGUGAAACUCAAAGGAAUUGACGGGGGCCCGCACAAGCGGAGGAACAUGUGGUUUAAUUCGAUGAUACGCGAGGAACCUUACCCGGGCUUAAAUUGCACUGGACAGGCUCAGAGAUGGGCUCUUCUUCGGACCAGUGUGAAGGUGCUGCAUGGUUGUCGUCAGCUCGUGCCGUGAGGUGUCGGCUUAAGUGCCAUAACGAGCGCAACCCUUGCCAUUAGUUACUAACAGGUCAUGCUGAGGACUCUAGUGGGACUGCCAUCGUAAGAUGUGAGGAAGGUGGGGAUGACGUCAAAUCAGCACGGCCCUUACGUCCGGGGCUACACACGUGUUACAAUGGGAGGUACAGAAGGCUGCUACCCGGCGACGGGAUGCCAAUCCCCAAAACCUCUCUCAGUUCGGAUUG